rnacentral:rRNA from 1 species
UACGUAGGGGGCCAGCGUUGUCCGGAAUCAUUGGGCGUAAAGCGCGCGUAGGCGGCCAGAUAAGUCCGGUGUGAAAGUCAAAGGCUCAACCUUUGAAUGCCGCUGGAAACUGCCUGGCUUGAGUCCGGAAGGGGCGAGUGGAAUUCCUGGUGUAGCGGUGAAAUGCGCAGAGUAUCAGGAGGAACACCAAUGGCGAAGGCAGCUCGCUGGAACGGUACUGACGCUGAGGCGCGAAAGCGUGGGGAGCGAACAGG